UACGUAGGGUGCGAGCGUUAAUCGGAAUUACCGGGCGUAAAGCGUGCGCAGGCGGCGCGUUAAGACAGGUGUGAAAGCCCCGAGCUUAACUUGGGAAUUGCGCUUGUGACUGACGUGCUGGAGUGUGGCAGAGGGAGGUGGAAUUCCACGUGUAGCAGUGAAAUGCGUAGAGAUGUGGAGGAACACCGAUGGCGAAGGCAGCCUCCUGGGCCAGCACUGACGCUCAUGCACGAAAGCGUGGGGAGCAAACAGG
rnacentral:rRNA from 1 species